UGGGGAAUAUUGCACAAUGGGCGCAAGCCUGAUGCAGCCAUGCCGCGUGUAUGAAGAAGGCCUUCGGGUUGUAAAGUACUUUCAGCGGGGAGGAAGGCGAUAAGGUUAAUAACCUUGUCGAUUGACGUUACCCGCAGAAGAAGCACCGGCUAACUCCGUGCCAGCAGCCGCGGUAAUACGGAGGGUGCAAGCGUUAAUCGGAAUUACUGGGCGUAAAGCGCACGCAGGCGGUCUGUCAAGUCGGAUGUGAAAUCCCCGGGCUCAACCUGGGAACUGCAUUCGAAACUGGCAGGCUAGAGUCUUGUAGAGGGGUGUAGAAUUCCAGGUGUAGCGGUGAAAUGCGUAGAGAUCUGGAGGAAUACCGGUGGCGAAGGCGGCCCCCUGGACAAAGACUGACGCUCAGGUGCGAAAGCGUGGGGAGCAAACA
rnacentral:rRNA from 1 species